rnacentral:rRNA from 2 species
AGACCCGAAACCCGGUGAUCUAGCCAUGGGCAGGUUGAAGGUUGGGUAACACUAACUGGAGGACCGAACCGACUAAUGUUGAAAAAUUAGCGGAUGACCUGUGGCUGGGGGUGAAAGGCCAAUCAAACCGGGAGAUAGCUGGUUCUCCCCGAAAGCUAUUUAGGUAGCGCCUCGUGAAUUCAUCUCCGGGGGUAGAGCACUGUUUCGGCUAGGGGGCCAUCCCGGCUUACCAACCCGAUGCAAACUGCGAAUACCGGAGAAUGUUAUCACGGGAGACACACGGCGGGUGCUAACGUCCGUCGUGAAGAGGGAAACAACCCAGACCGCCAGCUAAGGUCCCAAAGUCAUGGUUAAGUGGGAAACGAUGUGGGAAGGCCCAGACAGCCAGGAUGUUGGCUUAGAAGCAGCCAUCAUUUAAAGAAAGCGUAAUAGCUCACUGGUCGAGUCGGCCUGCGCGGAAGAUGUAACGGGGCUAAACCAUGCACCGAAGCUGCGGCAGCGACACUGUGUGUUGUUGGGUAGGGGAGCGUUCUGUAAGCCUGUGAAGGUGUGUCGUGAGGCAUGCUGGAGGUAUCAGAAGUGCGAAUGCUGACAUAAGUAACGAUAAAGCGGGUGAAAAGCCCGCUCGCCGGAAGACCAAGGGUUCCUGUCCAACGUUAAUCGGGGCAGGGUGAGUCGACCCCUAAGGCGAGGCCGAAAGGCGUAGUCGAUGGGAAACGGGUUAAUAUUCCCGUACUUGGUGUUACUGCGAAGGGGGGACGGAGAAGGCUAUGUUGGCCGGGCGACGGUUGUCCCGGUUUAAGCGUGUAGGCUGGUUUUCCAGGCAAAUCCGGAAAAUCAAGGCUGAGGCGUGAUGACGAGGCACUACGGUGCUGAAGCAACAAAUGCCCUGCUUCCAGGAAAAGCCUCUAAGCAUCAGGUAACAUCAAAUCGUACCCCAAACCGACACAGGUGGUCAGGUAGAGAAUACCAAGGCGCUUGAGAGAACUCGGGUGAAGGAACUAGGCAAAAUGGUGCCGUAACUUCGGGAGAAGGCACGCUGACACGUAGGUGAAGUGAUUUACUCAUGGAGCUGAAGUCAGUCGAAGAUACCAGCUGGCUGCAACUGUUUAUUAAAAACACAGCACUGUGCAAACACGAAAGUGGACGUAUACGGUGUGACGCCUGCCCGGUGCCGGAAGGUUAAUUGAUGGGGUCAGCGCAAGCGAAGCUCCUGAUCGAAGCCCCGGUAAACGGCGGCCGUAACUAUAACGGUCCUAAGGUAGCGAAAUUCCUUGUCGGGUAAGUUCCGACCUGCACGAAUGGCGUAAUGAUGGCCAGGCUGUCUCCACCCGAGACUCAGUGAAAUUGAACUCGCUGUGAAGAUGCAGUGUACCCGCGGCAAGACGGAAAGACCCCGUGAACCUUUACUAUAGCUUGACACUGAACAUUGAGCCUUGAUGUGUAGGAUAGGUGGGAGGCUUUGAAGUGUGGACGCCAGUCUGCAUGGAGCCGACCUUGAAAUACCACCCUUUAAUGUUUGAUGUUCUAACGUGGACCCGUUACCCGGGUUGCGGACAGUGUCUGGUGGGUAGUUUGACUGGGGCGGUCUCCUCCUAAAGAGUAACGGAGGAGCACGAAGGUUGGCUAAUCCUGGUCGGACAUCAGGAGGUUAGUGCAAUGGCAUAAGCCAGCUUGACUGCGAGCGUGACGGCGCGAGCAGGUGCGAAAGCAGGUCAUAGUGAUCCGGUGGUUCUGAAUGGAAGGGCCAUCGCUCAACGGAUAAAAGGUACUCCGGGGAUAACAGGCUGAUACCGCCCAAGAGUUCAUAUCGACGGCGGUGUUUGGCACCUCGAUGUCGGCUCAUCACAUCCUGGGGCUGAAGUAGGUCCCAAGGGUAUGGCUGUUCGCCAUUUAAAGUGGUACGCGAGCUGGGUUUAGAACGUCGUGAGACAGUUCGGUCCCUAUCUGCCGUGGGCGCUGGAGAACUGAGGGGGGCUGCUCCUAGUACGAGAGGACCGGAGUGGACGCAUCACUGGUGUUCGGGUUGUCAUGCCAAUGGCACUGCCCGGUAGCUAAAUGCGGAAGAGAUAAGUGCUGAAAGCAUCUAAGCACGAAACUUGCCCCGAG